GGAGGGGGGCUAGCGUUGUUCGGAAUUACUGGGCGUAAAGCGCGCGUAGGCGGGCUGGUUAGUUGGGGGGUGAAAUCCCCGAGGGCUCAACCUCGGGAACUGCCCUCAAUACUGCCAGUCUUGAGUUCGAGAGAGGUGAGUGGAAUUCCUAGUGUAGAGGUGAAAUUCGUAGAUAUUAGGAAGAACACCAGUGGCGAAGGCGGCUCACUGGCUCGAUACUGACGCUGAGGCGCGAAAGCGUGGGGAGCAAACAGGAUUAGAUACCCUGGUAGUCCACGCCGUAAACGAUGGGUGCUAGUUGUCAGGCAGCUUGCUGUUUGGUGACGCAGCUAACGCGUUAAGCACCCCGCCUGGGGACUACGGUCGCAAGACUA
rnacentral:rRNA from 1 species